UCUCCGUAGGUGAACCUGCGGAGGGAUCAUUACAGAGUUCAUGCCCUUACGGGUAGAUCUCCCACCCUGUGUUAUUAUUACCUUUGUUGCUUUGGCGGGCCGUCCGGCUUCAGCCAGGCUACCGGCUCCGGCUGGUAAGCGCCCGCCAGAGGACCUAAAACCCUGAAUGUUAGUGUCGUCUGAGUACUAUAUAAUAGUUAAAACUUUCAACAACGGAUCUCUUGGUUCUG
rnacentral:misc_RNA from 1 species